rnacentral:rRNA from 1 species
GGGGAUAAUUCUGAAUAGAUCACAUAUGCUGGAAUGCUUUGUGAUUAAAAGAUCCGUCGCCCAAGGAUGGGUCUGCGGCCUAUCAGGUUGUACUGGGUCUAGAGUACCUACUAGCCUACGACGGGUACGGGUUGUGAGAGCAAGAGCCCGGAGAUGGAUUCUGAGACAUUAAUCCAUGCCCUACGGGGCGCAGCAGGCGCGAAACCUUUACUCUGCGGGAAACCGCGAUAAGGGGACACCGAGUGCCAUCAUACGAUGCUGGCUGUCCACAUGUGUAAAUAGCAUGUGAUAGCAAGGGCCGGGCAAGACCGGUGCCAGCCGCCGCGGUAACACCGGCGGCCCGAGUGGUAAUCACUAUUAUUGGGUCUAAAGGGUCCGUAUCCGGUUUAAUCAUGCUUCCGGGAAAUCUGACAGCUCAACUGUUAUGCUACCGGGGGAUACUGUUAUACUUGGGACCGGGAGAGGUAAGAGGUACUACCGGGGUAGGAGUGAAAUCUUGUAAUCCCUGUGGGACCACCAGUGGCGAAGGCGUCUUACCAGAACGGGUCCGACGGUGAGGGACGAAAGCUGGGUGCACGAACCGGAUUAGAUACCCGGGUAGUCCCAUCCGUAAACGAUGCUCGCUAGGUGUCUGGAAUGGUGCGACCGUUUCAGGUGCCUCAGGGAAGCCGUGAAGCGAGCCACCUGGGAAGUACGGCCGCAAGGCUGAUACUUAAAGGAAUUGGCGGGGGAGCAC